rnacentral:rRNA from 1 species
UACGUAGGGUGCAAGCGUUGUCCGGAAUUAUUGGGCGUAAAGAGCUCGUAGGCGGUUUGUCGCGUCUGCUGUGAAAACUCGGGGCUUAACCCCGGGCCUGCAGUGGGUACGGGCAGACUAGAGUGCGGUAGGGGAGACUGGAAUUCCUGGUGUAGCGGUGAAAUGCGUAGAUAUCAGGAGGAACACCGAUGGCGAAGGCAGCUCUCUGGCCUGUAACUGACGCUGAGGUGCGAAAGCGUGGGGAGCAAACAGG